AUUAAAGCAGGUAAUGUUUAUUUCAAUAACGCAUAUUUGCGUGUAUAAUUAUGCAGAUAUUAGAAAAAGCACCUUUUAAUUUCACUUUUGGUGUGCAUAACUAUAGCAGGUAAUGUUUAUUUAUAUCAAUAACGCAAAUUAUGGAUUUUGCAAUUGAAAAACGGAUCACUCAUCGUUAAUGACAAGUCUGAAAGAGUUGGAAUUUGAAAAUCAUUCUCCUUAAUUAAUGUGAUUGACCUAUGUUAAUUAGAUACACACUAAAUUACAUAAACUAUGCGUGAUUUCAGCCAACGGCUCAUCUACAGCCUAAUUCUAAGCUAUAGUCAAAUAUUACAAAUUUUUGAUUGAUUUACAUCAUAAUAUUAUAUGUUUGACUUUUUUACAGAAUCAUAUAAUAUAAAUGUCACACAUUCUAUCCUAAUACUCAAAGGGUUUUUCUACCACGAUACAGAAAAUACAAAGAUCUAAUUUUUUUGAUAAAUCAUUUCCAGAUUUGGUAAUUUGAACCUACCAUACAUGAACCUGGAAGAGUUGAGUCUCUUGAGAAGAAAACACGGGAGGAGAGAGAUCGAGGUUGGAUUACUUUCGCCAUUUUUGCUCAGAUUUCUUCGUUGGUGUUUGUGUGAUGGUGUCGGUGGUGGGGGUGGUGUUGUUGUUGUAAUCAUCGACAAGAGGAGAGAGACUCAAAAUAGAUAUGGAUAUGCCACCUUGUAUUGUAUAAGUUGUAUCAUGGCGGAAAGUGGAUGUUAUCCUAAUUUUCUUACUCCCUUUGUCCCUAAAAGAUUUCCCGAUUGUAACUUUUUGGGUCAAACUUUAAAAACUUUGACCAUUAAUUCUCAUUAGGCUAUAAGAAAUAAUUAGUCACGUGGGGUCUUGUUAGAUUCGUUCUAAUGUAUAAUUUUGGAAUAUCAACUUUUUAUGAUUUUUAUGCGGGUAUAAUUAGAAAUAUUUAUGUUCUAAGUCGUGUUUUGGAGACCGUAAAAAGUCAAAUGGGGCAAUCUUUUAGAGACGAAGGGAGUAUCUUGCCGGGUCAAGUUAAGAUUGUCAAUGACGUGCCUAAUAAUACAGAGCAUUGCAAUAGGACAUUAAUAACAGGGGAUGCAUUGUUUUGAAUAUCUCCAACGGAUAUAUUUUGUAGAAAGCAAGAACAUAUUGUUGUAAUUUUAAUUUUGGAGUUGAAAUGUUAGAAAACUUAUAAGUAAAGGACAUGUGUUAUUGAAGUUAUUGAGUAAA